rnacentral:rRNA from 1 species
CAGCAGCCGCGGGAAUACGAAGGGUGCAAGCGUUACUCGGAAUUACUGGGCGUAAAGCGUGCGUAGGUGGUGGUUUAAGUCCGUUGUGAAAGCCCUGGGCUCAACCUGGGAAUUGCAGUGGAUACUGGGUCACUAGAGUGUGGUAGAGGAUAGUGGAAUUUCCGGUGUAGCAGUAAAAUGCGUAGAGAUCGGAAGGAACAUCUGUGGCGAAGGCGACUAUCUGGGCCAACACUGACACUGAGGCACGAAAGCGUGGGGAGCAAACAGGAUUAGAUACCCGGGUAGUCCCUGUCUCUUAUAC